ensembl:ncRNA Y37E11B.13 ncRNA
GUGGUGAAUUUUUCUCAGCAUUAGCGGAUCGUCUAACUAAGCCCCGCCCAUUUUCGAGAAAAGUACAUUAGCACACGCCCCUUUUGUGGGCGGAGCCUAAGAGGCCACGCCCAUUUUGUAGGCGGAAUCUCGAAAAAAGUUUAAAUUCA